CCUACGGGAGGCAGCAGUGAGGAAUAUUGGUCAAUGGACGAGAGUCUGAACCAGCCAAGUAGCGUGAAGGAUGACUGCCCUAUGGGUUGUAAACUUCUUUUAUAUGGGAAUAAAACAGGGUAUGCAUACCCUCUUUUAUGUACCAUAUGAAUAAGGAUCGGCUAACUCCGUGCCAGAAGCCGCGGUAAUACGGAGGAUCCGAGCGUUAUCCGGAUGUAUUGGGUUUAAAGGGAGCGUAGGUGGAUUGUUAAGUCAGUUGUGAAAGUUUGCGGCUCAACCGUAAAAUUGCAGUUGAAACUGGCAGUCUUGAGUACAGUAGAGGUGGGCGGAAUUCGUGGUGUAGCGGUGAAAUGCUUAGAUAUCACGAAGAACUCCGAUUGCGAAGGCAGCUCACUGGACUGCAACUGACACUGAUGCUCGAAAGUGUGGGUAUCAAACAGGAUUAGAUACCCGGGUAGUC
rnacentral:rRNA from 1 species